GACGAACGCUGGCGGCGUGCUUAACACAUGCAAGUCGAACGGAAAGGCCCUGCUUUUGUGGGGUGCUCGAGUGGCGAACGGGUGAGUAACACGUGAGUAACCUGCCCUUGACUUUGGGAUAACUUCAGGAAACUGGGGCUAAUACCGGAUAGGAUCUCCUGCUGCAUGGUGGGGGUUGGAAAGUUUCGGCGGUUGGGGAUGGACUCGCGGCUUAUCAGCUUGUUGGUGGGGUAGUGGCUUACCAAGGCUUUGACGGGUAGCCGGCCUGAGAGGGUGACCGGCCACAUUGGGACUGAGAUACGGCCCAGACUCCUACGGGAGGCAGCAGUGGGGAAUAUUGCACAAUGGGCGGAAGCCUGAUGCAGAAACGCCGCGUGCGGGAUGACGGCCUUCGGGUUGUAAACCGCUUUCGCAUGUGACGAAGCGUGAGUGACGGUAAUGGGUAAAGAAGCACCGGCUAACUACGUG
rnacentral:rRNA from 1 species